UAACGCGUAUGCAACCUACCCAUAACAGGGGCAUAACACUGAGAAAUUGGUACUAAUUCCCCAUAACAUUCGAAGAGGCAUCUCUUUGGGUUGAAAACUCCGGUGGUUAUGGAUGGGCAUGCGUUGUAUUAGCUAGUUGGUGAGGUAACGGCUCACCAAGGCGACGAUACAUAGGGGGACUGAGAGGUUAACCCCCCACAUUGGUACUGAGACACGGACCAAACUCCUACGGGAGGCAGCAGUGAGGAAUAUUGGUCAAUGGACGCAAGUCUGAACCAGCCAUGCCGCGUGCAGGAUGACGGCUCUAUGAGUUGUAAACUGCUUUUGU
rnacentral:rRNA from 1 species